rnacentral:lncRNA from 1 species
UUUCUCUUACAUAUUUGCCCUUUAUUUUUACUAAUCAUAAUAUCAUGUCCUCCAUAAAAGAUGUCGGUCAUUAUUAUUCUUCUUUCUCUUUUUUCUCUACUCUCGUUCUCUGUUAACUGUUCUUCAGUUUCUUCUUUUUUCCAAUCUUUUAUGAUUUCUCUUCUUUUUUUUUUCUUUUUUUUUCCUAGAUCUGAAAUCUAAGUGAUGAAACAUAUAUGUAGCCGCUCAGGCUGAUGCAACAGCGAAAGAACUUGGAUCUAUGGCUGCUCAGCCUGCAAAAACGGUGAAGAAAAUGAAGGAAUUGAAGAAAAAAGAGCUUGAAGUCUUUUUGGAUCUACAGUCAUGGAUCUGUGAUUUUAGAUUAGGAGUUUGUUUUAUAUUUCGUUUCAUUGGGUUAGGGUUCUGCCUCUAUUAAUAUUUGAUGUAAUGAAGAAUUUUGGGUUUUUUCGAUUUUUUGUUUUCUUUUUUUCUUCUGGAUGCUAUUGAUUUAGGAUUUGAUUUAGAGUUACUCUUUUCUGGGUUUAUCCGAUUUAGGUUUAAAAAAGGUUUAAUAACACAAGUGAACUUAGUAUAACUAACUCAAUUGUACUAAGUUGUACUCAGUAUAACUUAGUAUAACACACUAUAUCUUACUAUAACUCAAUAUAACUAGUAUUACUUGUAUAAUAAAGUAGAACUCAGUACAACCAAGUAAGACUAUAUCGGCCGACCAGUUACACAUCUAAACUUAAAAUUUGAAAUUCUGAAAUUUUGGAAUUUAUUUAAAAGAAAAUAAUUUCAAAAAAUACAAAAGGGUAAAAUUAGAUAUUCAAGUUUUAUUAAGGUGGAGAGAGGCAUAGGUGAUUAGGGAAGGGUAUAGACGAUUGUUUCUCGAGAUCUAGGGGCCAAGAAGGUGACGACCCUCUUGUACAAUGUCUUCUCUAACCUUUCUCUCUCCAACCUUACGAUUUCUUCUUUAACCUUCGUACAAACCAAACAAAAAAUUAAACAAGAAAAUAAC